rnacentral:rRNA from 1 species
CAGCCGCCGCGGUAAUACGUAGGUGGCAAGCGUUGUCCGGAAUUAUUGGGCGUAAAGCGCGCGCAGGCGGUCCCUUAAGUCUGAUGUGAAAGCCCACGGCUCAACCGUGGAGGGUCAUUGGAAACUGGGGGACUUGAGUGCAGAAGAGGAAAGUGGAAUUCCAUGUGUAGCGGUGAAAUGCGUAGAGAUGUGGAGGAACACCAGUGGCGAAGGCGACUUUCUGGUCUGUAACUGACGCUGAGGCGCGAAAGCGUGGGGAGCAAACAGGAUUAGAUACCCUGGUAGUCCACGCCGUAAACGAUGAGUGCUAAGUGUUAGGGGGUUUCUGCCCCUUAGUGCUGCAGCUAACGCAUUAAGCACUCCGCCUGGGGAGUACGGCCGCAAGGCUGAAACUUAAAGGAAUUGGCGGG